rnacentral:lncRNA from 1 species
AGAAUUGCUGUGUGGUUUCAUUCCAAAUGCAAAGAUCCUGACUCAAGUUUUUACAGUUUUAGGGGAAACUACUGAUAGACGUGUUAGGUUGAAGAUGCAAGGUGUAUCACUUCACCUCCUUGGGACUGGAUGCAAAAGCUGGACCGGGGUUGCCUGACCAAACCACUCCACUCCACCCGGGGUCCCCGCGAGAGGGAUGUGCCGCCCUGUCCGGCUGGAGCCGCUCGAGGCGCGGGAUGUCGGCGGAGCAGAGCUGGGGGCAGCUCGGAGAGCCCUCUCCAAAGCCCAGACACAAAAACGGCCCCUCGGGCAGGAGCCCGGAGAAGCCGAGCGGCAGGAAAUCCUCAGGAGUGCCCCAUGAGCCUACUGUGUGGCUAUAUGAUACCACCUUUGGGAUUUGGAUAUUUGGAAACAGCAAUGGCUGGAGGCCCUGAAUUGCUGAAUUAG